UACGAAGGGGGCUAGCGUUGUUCGGAAUUACUGGGCGUAAAGCGCGCGCAGGCGGCUAUCCAAGUCAGUGGUGAAAGCCCGGAGCUCAACUCCGGAACUGCCAUUGAAACUGUUUAGCUUGAGGAUGAGAGAGGUGAGUGGAAUUCCCAGUGUAGAGGUGAAAUUCGUAGAUAUUGGGAAGAACACCGGUGGCGAAGGCGGCUCACUGGCCCGUAACUGACGCUCAUGCACGACAGCGUGGGGAUCAAACAGG
rnacentral:rRNA from 1 species